rnacentral:misc_RNA from 1 species
GAUGAAGAACGUAGCGAAAUGCGAUAAGUAAUGUGAAUUGCAGAAUUCCGUGAAUCAUCGAAUCUUUGAACGCACAUUGCGCCCCCUGGUAUUCCGGGGGGGCAUGCCUGUCCGAGCGUCAUUGCAACCUUCAAGCGCGGCUUGUGUGUUGGGUCUCGUCCCCCGUGGACGGGCCCGAAAGGCAGUGGCGGCGUCCCGACAUGGUGCCCGAGCGUAUGGGAAUCCUCUUCCGCUCGAAUCGGCCCAUGCGGCGCUGGUCGUAACCAAAUUUUUUACCGGUUGACCUCGGAUCAGGUAGGGAUACCCGCUGAACUUAAGCAUAUCAAUAAGCGGAGGA